CACGAGUCUCAAUGUGGCUCGAGACUCCUAUCUGACCCGAAGGUGGAGAUGGAUUUUGCGGCCGGAACAGCAGGAAAAAAGUGAAAAUAACGACGCAGAAGGUGACAUCGGAGCAGCGAAAAAAUCCUGCGAAGCUGAUAUCCCGAGUAGCCUGAAAGGAGGAGGAGGCCUAGGAUAGGCAUCGGGCAUCGGCGUACUAACACUUCUGAAAAUAUCCACGCGCGCGCAGAAAGGAGCAUCAGCUUCGCAUCGAGGGAACACGAAGGACACCCCGAGCAGCGUGAGAGAAAGUGGAGGCCUGGGAAAGGCAUUAGGCAUCGUAAAUAGAUAGAAA